UGGUAGGUUAUAAAUUGGGUGUGUCGCUCCCUAUUCAUUCAUUCAACAAUUUUUCUCUUGAGUUUUCUUUUAAAGAAUUUCUCUUGAGUUUUCUUUUAGAAAAGUUUUAACAAUAUUUUUAGAUUGUAAGAAUCGUCUUCAAGCUUUUUCUUUUCAAGGAGUCUUUCUUGGAGGGAAAAUUAGAGUCGUUUGAAGGGGGUUAUGGAUUCAUCUUGUUUCCAAGGCUCUUUAGGACUUUUAUAUACCAUCGUAAUCUUUUUUCAUAUUUCUUCAUUGUUUUUCUUCUAUUUUCCAUUCAAUUCUUGUUGUUUUUAUUUUAAUCUUUGUUUGAUUUAUUUCCAUAUUUGAAUUAGUAAAGGAAAGACGUUCUCCUAUCAUAAUACUUCAAGAAACAAUAAAAAUAGGAGUUCUUUUCUUUUCUUAUUGAUUUGAGUUCUUUUGUUACAAAACAAAUUUUAUUUUGCUUAAUUCUUCAUUAUAACAAACUAUUUUGUUGUUUUUGUUUCAAAUUUGGUUGGAGGCCUCCUUUUGGUUCAAGAACGGUUUCUUCUCUCCCAAGAAACCUUAUUCUAAUUAUUCUUGGACUCUUUUUGGCCACACUCUUUUGCUUUGUUGUUUGAAUUUCUUUUUCAUUUGUUUCCAUUCAAAUACUAAUAUGUUCUAUUUUUCUUGUUUAGAUCUCAAUUUGGAAAAUUCUUCUUCACCAAGAACGUCCCAAACACUUCAAAAUUCUGGGUUUUCUCUUGUUCUGGGAUGGUCAAAUUUCCUCUUAAUAUUUCUUGUGUUUUCAUUCAGUUUUAGUUUUUAUUCUUCAGAUCUGUUUAUAAAUUGCUAUUUUCUUGUCUUGGUAGCUUGAUUUCGUUUAGAAUUAAUCAAGAACAAGGGGUUUAUUAACUGACUUGGAUUCUUUCAAGAACCCUAGUUUUUAGAUUUGGUCUUCUUGUUCUUUACUUGUUAGAUUUUGUUGUUGCCCUUCAAUUUUAACUUGGAUUAUUUGUGUUUCAGGUUGAGUCAAACUCUAAGUUUCUUUCUGAUCGUAUAGAGCCCUAAGUCAAAUCUACGACUUGGACAAACUUUCCAUCCUGUUCCACGCACGUCCCUAUCACUAAGUAAGCCUUCGAGAGAGCUUGUUGGACUCGCUUGUGCCUAAAAUGCUUGGCUAGAAAGCUAGAAUAAGAGAUCUUUAGAGAAUGGGAGACUUGUAUUACUCAAAUGACUUAUGUACAAAUGAGGGGUGGGAUGUCCCCUUAUUUAUAGGCCUAGAUCCUUUACAUCAACGAUUGAGGUACAAAGGUCCACUAUGGACGGUGAAGAUCUAAUCUUUAGAAUCUUCCCAACUACUCUUAAUAAAUGCUAUACAAGAAAGGAGUAUUCUAGAGAUAUCUAGUGGUAGCUAGUUAUCUGCUUUCUUCUAGAAGGUGCUAAGGCUUCAUGGACCCUUGUAGCCUACAAAAUCUCUGUGGUGUGUAGUUGGGCCUCUUAAUUAUGCUUUGUGCUCUCUUGAUGGCCUUAUCUGCUCUAUGAUAUAUUGUUGUUGCCUGUAUAAAUGCUAAACUCAGUCAUGGUGUGACAUUCUCCCCCAUCUAAUCGAAUGACAUCCUUGUUUCUCUUUCCAAGUGGAACUCCUUGACCUUGUCUUUGAAUUGCCAUAAGGAAUCCUCCGGUUCCCAACUAGCUUCAACAUCGGAAAGCCUCUUCCACUUCACAAGGUGCUCUCGCCUUUGCAUGUGGUAUUGUUGUCUAUGGACCUAAUCGACUAAGAUACACUCCACUUCUUUUUCAUAUGAUGCUUUUAUACAUACGAUUGCUUGUUGGGAAAUGCCUUGAUUCGAAUCUUCUUAGUCUUCAUAGAAUUGUUUCAACAUGCUUACAUGGAAGAUCGGAUGGGCCUUGUGUAAUUCCCCAAAAAUUGUUAUGUUAUAAAAGUAUCAAUAAAUUGAGAUUGUGCAUAAUGAUUUUCUUGGUAAAGUAAAAUAAUGAAUAUAAUUGAUAAAAG
rnacentral:lncRNA from 1 species